AUGCACAGACGGCACUGUGGCAUGGCUUGCCGCAUGUGUGGCUCAUGCUGCUGCGGAUCCGACGGCUGGGCCGCGUCAUUUUCAGGCCGCAUUGGGUAUUCCUCACUGGCGUGUUGUGAUGGAGCAGGAAUUUCAGGCUUUGCUGAAAAUGGCACUUGGCAACUUGUUCCUCCGGUCUCUGGCAUCAACAUCAUUGACUCCAAAUGGGUGUUUAAGGUAAAACGACAUGCAGAUGGUUCUAUUGAGCGCUACAAGGCACGGCUGGUUGCCAAGGGUGUCAAGCAGAGGUAUGGUCUUGAUUAUGAAGACACGUUCAGUCCAGUUAUCAAGCCUACUACUAUUCGUAUACUGCUGUCUCUUGCUGUUACUCGUGGUUGGUCUCUUCGUCAGCUUGACGUGCAGAAUGCCUUCCUCCAUGGAGUUCUUGAGGAAGAGGUUUAUAUGCGUCAACCACCAGGUUUUGUUGAUCCUACACGUCUGCAUCAUCUCUAUCGUCUGGUCAAGGCAUUGUAUGGACUUAAACAGGCGCCUCGUGCGUGGCAUGCGCGCCUUGGUUUUGUUCUCCAGACUCUUGGGUUUAUUCCCUCGACUACUGACACAUAA
rnacentral:rRNA from 1 species